rnacentral:rRNA from 2 species
UACGGGGGGAGCAAGCGUUGUUCGGAUUUACUGGGCGUAAAGGGCGCGUAGGCGGCCAGCGCAAGUCAGUUGUGAAAUCUCCGAGCUUAACUCGGAAAGGUCAACUGAUACUGCGCGGCUAGAGUGCAGAAGGGGCAACUGGAAUUCUCGGUGUAGCGGUGAAAUGCGUAGAUAUCGAGAGGAACACCUGCGGCGAAGGCGGGUUGCUGGGCUGACACUGACGCUGAGGCGCGAAAGCUAGGGGAGCGAACGGG